rnacentral:rRNA from 1 species
AAAUUGAAGAGUUUGAUCAUGGCUCAGAUUGAACGCUGGCGGCAGGCCUAACACAUGCAAGUCGAACGGUAACAGGAAGCAGCUUGCUGCUUUGCUGACGAGUGGCGGACGGGUGAGUAAUGUCUGGGAAACUGCCUGAUGGAGGGGGAUAACUACUGGAAACGGUGGCUAAUACCGCAUAAUGUCGCAAGACCAAAGAGGGGGACCUUCGGGCCUCUUGCCAUCAGAUGUGCCCAGAUGGGAUUAGCUUGUUGGUGAGGUAACGGCUCACCAAGGCGACGAUCCCUAGCUGGUCUGAGAGGAUGACCAGCCACACUGGAACUGAGACACGGUCCAGACUCCUACGGGAGGCAGCAGUGGGGAAUAUUGCACAAUGGGCGCAAGCCUGAUGCAGCCAUGCCGCGUGUAUGAAGAAGGCCUUCGGGUUGUAAAGUACUUUCAGCGGGGAGGAAGGUGUUGUGGUUAAUAACCGCAGCAAUUGACGUUACCCGCAGAAGAAGCACCGGCUAACUCCGUGCCAGCAGCCGCGGUAAUACGGAGGGUGCAAGCGUUAAUCGGAAUUACUGGGCGUAAAGCGCACGCAGGCGGUCUGUCAAGUCGGAUGUGAAAUCCCCGGGCUCAACCUGGGAACUGCAUUCGAAACUGGCAGGCUUGAGUCUUGUAGAGGGGGGUAGAAUUCCAGGUGUAGCGGUGAAAUGCGUAGAGAUCUGGAGGAAUACCGGUGGCGAAGGCGGCCCCCUGGACAAAGACUGACGCUCAGGUGCGAAAGCGUGGGGAGCAAACAGGAUUAGAUACCCUGGUAGUCCACGCCGUAAACGAUGUCUACUUGGAGGUUGUGCCCUUGAGGCGUGGCUUCCGGAGCUAACGCGUUAAGUAGACCGCCUGGGGAGUACGGCCGCAAGGUUAAAACUCAAAUGAAUUGACGGGGGCCCGCACAAGCGGUGGAGCAUGUGGUUUAAUUCGAUGCAACGCGAAGAACCUUACCUGGUCUUGACAUCCACAGAACUUUCCAGAGAUGGAUUGGUGCCUUCGGGAACUGUGAGACAGGUGCUGCAUGGCUGUCGUCAGCUCGUGUUGUGAAAUGUUGGGUUAAGUCCCGCAACGAGCGCAACCCUUAUCCUUUGUUGCCAGCGAUUAGGUCGGGAACUCAAAGGAGACUGCCAGUGAUAAACUGGAGGAAGGUGGGGAUGACGUCAAGUCAUCAUGGCCCUUACGACCAGGGCUACACACGUGCUACAAUGGCGCAUACAAAGAGAAGCGACCUCGCGAGAGCAAGCGGACCUCAUAAAGUGCGUCGUAGUCCGGAUUGGAGUCUGCAACUCGACUCCAUGAAGUCGGAAUCGCUAGUAAUCGUGGAUCAGAAUGCCACGGUGAAUACGUUCCCGGGCCUUGUACACACCGCCCGUCACACCAUGGGAGUGGGUUGCAAAAGAAGUAGGUAGCUUAACCUUCGGGAGGGCGCUUACCACUUUGUGAUUCAUGACUGGGGUGAAGUCGUAACAAGGUAACCGUAGGGGAACCUGCGGUUGGAUCACCUCCUUA